ensembl:lncRNA
CCUUCUCUGGCAUCAUCUGGAGUGUGUUUUUCCCUUGUUUUCCUCUUGGCGGGAGCUGGGGGGCUUUGUCCUCCCUGACAAAGGACACGAUGGGCUUUCUCUCUGGAAAGGGGCUGAGAGGCGCUGGAGUUCACUGGGCGAGGAGGGACCUGGGGCUGGGCUCAGAGGUCGGAGGGCCACCUCACUGCCCAGCGGGAAGGAGAGCAGGAGGUUAUGAAAACCUCAGGGUGCUUGCCCAGAGAACCAAAAUGUGGAAUGCAACAUUAAUUAAAAAUGCCUCCUCCUGGCGUUCCCGCUGUGGCUCAGAGGGUUAGAUUAACCCCACAUGUAUCCAUGAGGAUGCAGGUUCCAUGCCUGGCGGGAAGGGUCAGCGGGUUAAGGGUCCGGUGUUGCCGUGCCUGUGGCUUAGGUCGCAGGGGCAGCUCCACCUCGACUCCUAGCCCAGGAACUUCCACAUGUGGCAGGUGCGGCCUUAAAAAGAGAAAAAAUUCCUCCUCCUCGGAAUUCUCUUGCCACUUAGGGCUGGGUCAGAGGGGCUGGGCGGGGGGGAAAUAGAAGACCUUUGCUUUUCCAGAAAAUCUGAUUUCAGAUGGAACUAAUUCUUGCCCAAGAAGCAGGGAAAGUGGCUCUCGGGCUCUGCUCAGGGAGAUGGUGUGUUAGAGGCAGCAGUGGGGCCCCACGAAGGUGGGAGCCCUGGGAAGGACCGCCGUGUGGGGGGCCCUGCAGGACCACAAAUCCUGGGGGAUCGGGGCCGUGGUGAGCUGUGGCCAGGGUGCGCUCCGGGGUGGAUUCUGGGACCCCUAAUUAUAUCGGCGCGAGGGAGGAGGUUACACACGUUGGACCCACUUUUAACCCUGCAGGGAUGAGUGUGUGUGUGUGUGUGUGUGUGUGUGUCUACUAACUCCACAGGCCCUGGCCCCUUGGGUCUUGUCUACAUGAGCGAAAGGAUUGAAGGGGCUGAGUUAAGUCACCCUCGGUCGCUGGUGCCUCCUGCCACGACAGAUGCUGUCCCGGGUCGCAGAGGUGGUUCUCACGCGCCCCCUUCCCGCAAACCUUUUGCCUCGUAAGCGAACGCGCGGAGGCCCCAGCUCCCUGAAUAACCGGCUCCGCUCUGGACCUUUGGGCCGGGUCCCUGCGGCUCACUCCUGGUGUCAUUUUCAGGCAGGGAAAUCUGGAGCCACUGAAUGAAUCAGGACAAAAUAGCCUGGAGCUGACAUUCGAGCCACGGGAGGGGGCGGGCAGCCCACAAAGGGGACGAGGAAGUGAAUUAAGCCGCAGAUGCAGGGAGGGAGGGGAGAGGAGCUGGACCGUGGGGGGGAGGGGGGUUAAUAAGGCAGCGGGUGCGCCAAAGAGCAGGAGGCUGAAUGAAGCAAGAAGUGAGUGAUGACCCAAGGAGGGCACGCGUGGCCGAGGGAAGGAAUGGCCCUGCCCCCCCCACCGGCCCACGCAGCUGGCAGGAGACCCAGAGCCCAGGAGCCUCAGCUGUCCGCCUCUCGGGGUUGGGGGGUGAGGGGCCUGCCUGUCCAGGGUCCUCCAGGGAGGCCACUGGGUCAGACGUGACUCCCCCCCCCCCACGAGCUGGGCCAGCAUCUCCAACCGCAGCCGCUCUCGUGUUCCUGGCGAGGCAGACAGUGCGUGCGUGUUGCACCUACACACGCAUCACCACCCUUGGAGGGUGCCCUCCGAUGGGCCAGGUAGCCACCUUUGGGGUCUCGAGAUAGAGACCUCUCACCUCCUCCCCUCAAACGCCUGUGUGACCAGCUGGGUCAUCAGAGAGCUUUUGUAGUGAAAGAUUAUGCUGUCAAAAUACUGGGGGCCUGUGUCUCCAACGGGCCCUGAGCAAAGCUGGUUUUCUCCAAACUGGGGUUUUACAGAUAAAAAUCCGAGACACUGGCCUUUAUCCCUCAAACAAUAACAGGGUCGGAUAUGAGCCUGCAGGCUUCCCAGCAGCUCAGAGCUUUUAAUGAUUGUCACCGCUUUCCUGGUAAUAAAACUGCUUUGUGAUCAUUGCAGCAGUCUUGGGAAACACAGAGAAACAAACAUAAAGCAGAAAAUAAAAGCCAUCCGACCUAGUUUUCCAAACUAACAAGCAAAGGCUUUGGAGUUCCCGCUGUGGUGCAGCGGGAGUGGCAGGUCUCCUGCUGGACAGUGCUGUUCGGGAGGGGCUCACUCCUCUAGGACACCAGAAAUUUCCAGCAGGGUGAGGUCUGAGGCACCAAACCGGGAGGAGGUUCAAGGUUCUGACUCCGAGCACCAGGCAGGAAGACCCGGUGCCUUGCUGGUGAGGUCCCGGGGUCACUGGCUAAUUCAAGUGUCCUGCAAACAUCGGGCCGUGGUUUGGGGUCAGGUGCCCAGUAGGGCGGGUCCCGGGAGCACAGGCCAUAGGGAACCUUUGCACCCAAGAAAGCUCGCAGCCCAGCAUCUCGGCUGCUGGAUUAGGGACCCUGGACGGGCAGAGGCCCUGACAGAAAAUCCAGCGUAACAUGAGCCUAGAGGAGGGCUGUCUGCAUGGGACUUGGAAAUCUUUUGUCCUUCUGGGGAGCGUUGCUGAAAGGAAACCGCCCCUCCUUGGGCAGGGCGGGCUGGAUCUCUUUUGUCCUUUCAAGCCCCAGGAAGAAGAGUUAGUCCACCGGACAGGGCUUUCAUUUUGAGGAGUGGGCCGUCGGGGGGCUGUGGCCAGAGUCCCACACUCUGCUGGGCUGAGUGGUCCAGAGGCUGGCUUGGCCGCUUCCUGCAUCCCGUCCCCGGUGGGCGG